rnacentral:tRNA from 1 species
UGGCUCAGUGGAAGAGCACUUGCCUUACAUGCAUGAGGCCCUGGGUUCAAUUCCUCAG